CGCGCCCACUCCGCAGGGACCGUUAACGGUCGCCCCUGGCGCAGCGGGAGCGCGGCCUGGAGGCGGAGGCGGCCGAGGGGCGAACAAGGGAAGAAGACGUUUCCACCAGGACAGACUCCGCGGGGCUCGUUUCUCCAUGCGGACCUGCUGCGAACUGCUCUGCUAUUUAUGCCGGCCUGUUACCUCCGAAAGGAUUUCGGUGUCCGCACCCUUCACUGUCUGCAAGAUCAGCUGGGGACAAGAUGGAUUUAGAGGCUGUAAACCGUUAAGUGGAACCAUUCUUUUUUGUUUGUUUGUUUAAUAAUGAGC